ACAAACAACAACAACAACAAACCCAGUGUAUUCCCACUUUGUGGGGUCUGGGGGGGGUAAGAUGUACGCAGUCCAUACCUCUACCUCUGAUGAAGUAGAAAGGCUGUUUCCGAAAGACCCCCGGCUCAAGUUACGAGAUAUCAAACAAACACAUAGUACAGCACAGAAGCAGAUGACAUAACAUAGAUACUGCAGCCAUAAGGAAUAUAAAACAGAGUAAAGCAGGAAAGCAGGAAUAUAAAGCAGAGGAAAGCACACAGAUUCGUAACAAACAUAGAACACGGAACACGGAACAGAACAUUGAAUACGGAAUCAUACCAGGAAUACACCCCCACCAAUUACCUCCCUACAUUAGCGACCCGAACAGGCCCUAAUCCUCUGCCGUAAUUCGCGUCUUCC
rnacentral:lncRNA from 1 species